CAGUACAGCCCAGCACAGCUCAGUACAGUCCAGUACAGUACAUACAGCUCAGCACGGUCUAGUAUAGUCCAGUACAGCACAGUACAGCACAGUCUAGUACAGUCUAGUACA
rnacentral:miRNA from 1 species